AUUGAACGCUAGCGGGAUGCUUUACACAUGCAAGUCGAACGAGUGGCGGACGGGUGAGUAAUAUAUCGGGACGUGCCCAGUAGAGGGGGAUAACUACUCGAAACAGUGGCUAAUACCGCAUACUAUCGGAGCAGCCGAUAUCGGAUUGGCUAGUUGGUGGGGUAAAGGCUCCCCAAGGCAACGAUCCGUAGCUGGUUUGAGAGGACGACCAGCCACACUGGGACUGAGACACGGCCCAGACUCCUACGGGAGGCAGCAGUGGGGAAUUUUGGACAAUGGGGGAAACCCUGAUCCAGCCAUCCCGCGUGUAUGAGAAGGCCUUAGGGUUGUAAAGUACUUUUGGCAGAGAGGCGGUAUCUGCAGAAUAAGCACCGGCUAACUACGUGCCAGCAGCCGCGGUAAUAC
rnacentral:rRNA from 1 species